AGCAGAGAUGCUUUGGUGCCUUCGGGAACUCUGAGACAGGUGCUGCAUGGCUGUCGUCAGCUCGUGUUGUGAAAUGUUGGGUUAAGUCCCGCAACGAGCGCAACCCUUAUCCUUUGUUGCCAGCGGCUCGGCCGGGAACUCAAAGGAGACUGCCGGUGAUAAACCGGAGGAAGGUGGGGAUGACGUCAAGUCAUCAUGGCCCUUACGGCCAGGGCUACACACGUGCUACAAUGGCGCAUACAAAGAGAAGCGACCUCGCGAGAGCAAGCGGACCUCAUAAAGUGCGUCGUAGUCCGGAUUGGAGUCUGCAACUCGACUCCAUGAAGUCGGAAUCGCUAGUAAUCGUAGAUCAGAAUGCUACGGUGAAUACGUUCCCGGGCCUUGUACACACCGCCCGUCACACCAUGGGAGUGGGUUGCAAAAGAAGUAGGUAGCUUAACCUUCGGGAGGGCGCUUACCACUUUGUGAUUCAUGACUGGGGUGAAGUCGUAACAAGGUAGGCGUAGCGAG
rnacentral:rRNA from 1 species